AGCGGAGCGUUCCGUAAGUCUGUGAAGGCGGACCCGUGAGGGCUGCUGGAGAUAUCGGAAGUGCGAAUGUUGACAUGAGUAACGAUAAAGGGAGUGAGAGACUCCCUCGCCGAAAGACCAAGGGUUCCUGCUUAAAGUUAAUCUGAGCAGGGUUAGCCGGCCCCUAAGACGAGGCGGACACGCGUAGUCGAUGGGAACCACGUUAAUAUUCGUGGGCCUGGUGGUAGUGACGGAUCUCGUGUGUUGUACAUUCUUACUGGAUUGAAUGUGCGGCGAAGAGGUUCCAGGAAAUAGCUCCACCGUAUAGACCGUACCCGAAACCGACACAGGUGGUCAGGUAGAGUAUACCAAGGCGCUUGAGAGAACUAUGUUGAAGGAACUCGGCAAAUUGCACGCGUAACUUCGGAAGAAGCGUGACCCUUUUGUACGCAAGUAUGAUGGGGUGGCACAGACCAGGGGGUAGCGACUGUUUAUCAAAAACACAGGGCUCUGCGAAGUAGCAAUACGACGUAUAGGGUCUGACGCCUGCCCGGUGCUGGAAGGUUAAAGGGAGGGGUGCAAGCUCUGAACUGAAGCCCCAGUAAACGGCGGCCGUAACUAUAACGGUCCUAAGGUAGCGAAAUUCCUUGUCGGGUAAGUUCCGACCUGCACGAAUGGCGUAACGACUUCCCCGCUGUCUCCAACAUAGACUCAGUGAAAUUGAAUUCCCCGUGAAGAUGCGGGGUUCCUGCGGUCAGACGGAAAGACCCCGUGCACCUUUACUAUAGCUUUACACUGGCAUUCGCCAAGGCAUGUGUAGGAUAGGUGGUAGGCUUUGAAGCAUGGACGCCAGUUCGUGUGGAGCCAUCCUUGAAAUACCACCCUUAUCUUCGUGGAUGUCUAACCGCGGUCCGUUAUCCGGAUCCGGGACAGUGUAUGGUGGGUAGUUUGACUGGGGCGGUCGCCUCCGAAAGAGUAACGGAGGCGCGCGAUGGUGGGCUCAGACCGGUCGGAAAUCGGUCGUCGAGUGCAAUGGCAUAAGCCCGCCUGACUGCGAGACUGACAAGUCGAGCAGAGACGAAAGUCGGUCAUAGUGAUCCGGUGGUCCCGUGUGGAAGGGCCAUCGCUCAACG
rnacentral:rRNA from 1 species